AUGGUCAAUAAGGGGAUGAUGCCAAUUAGUCUGGAUUCUGGAACAAUGCUAACAUUCAAAUCCUUGAACUUGUUGGUGCAUCCGUGCUUUGAGAAAAAAACAGUUAGUGAAUUGGUAUGUCUGCUCCACUGGGCAGCAGCUGCAACCUUUCAACUUGGGCUCUUGCACCAUUGUUUCAUAUGUGUAUGCUCUAUUUUCCUGUCCAGUCAUUUGGUCUUUAUAUUCAGCUUGUGUUUGUCAAGAGCUUAUUCGGUCAAAGGUUAUAAGAGAUAUGACAUUGCCGCUGUUGCGCUAAGGGAUACGGGGUCAUGA
rnacentral:rRNA from 1 species